rnacentral:rRNA from 1 species
UACGUAGGGUGCAAGCGUUACUCGGAAUUACUGGGCGUAAAGCGUGCGCAGGCGGCUUUCCAAGUCAGUGGUGAAAGCCCGGAGCUCAACUCCGGAAAUGCCAUUGAAACUGUGAAGCUUGAGAACGAGAGAGGUGAGUGGAAUUCCCAGUGUAGAGGUGAAAUUCGUAGAUAUUGGGAAGAACACCAGUGGCGAAGGCGGCUCACUGGCUCGUAACUGACGCUCAUGCACGACAGCGUGGGGAUCAAACAGG